rnacentral:rRNA from 1 species
UGGGGAAUAUUGCACAAUGGAGGGAACUCUGAUGCAGCGACGCCGCGUGAACGAAGAAGGCUUUCGAGUCGUAAAGUUCUUUUCUAUGGGAAGAUAAUGACGGUACCAUAAGAAAAAGCCCCGGCUAACUACGUGCCAGCAGCCGCGGUAAUACGUAGGGGGCUAGCGUUGUCCGGAAUCACUGGGCGUAAAGGGUUCGCAGGCGGAAAUGCAAGUGAGGUGUAAAAGGCAGUAGCUUAACUACUGUAAGCAUUUGAAACUGCAUAUCUUGAGAAGAGUAGAGGUAAGUGGAAUUUUUAGGGUAGCUGUGAAAUGCGUAGAUAUUAAAAAGAAUACCGGUGGCGAAGGCGGCUUACUGGGCUCAUUCUGACGCUGAGGAACGAAAGCGUGGGUAGCAAACAGG